GGUAAAUGUUGCUGGAUGCAGUUUCAGUGGCAGAGUAUCCAAUUACCGAGACUGGAAAUCGAUAACUUUUUUAAAAUCAAUGCAUUUGAUACCUCACACCAAACGUGUUAUAUUUUAGUUCUGAUAAUCCAUUGUAGCAAUACCAACUUAGUGACUGGUGAGGAGAGACGGGGCUUGGAAUUCCUGCGGUACGAACACUCCAUGUUACACACACAAUGAAGAGACAGGGCCUUCGAUAAGAGCAGCAUGCAGUCAAUUUGAAAACGUCCCACCACGCGCUUUCACCAUAGUUGCAGCUGUCAAUCUAAAAUUUGGAUGUAAUAUCCUGGACUGUAUCUGCAAUACCAACUUAGUCGCAGGUGAGAUGAGACGGGGCUUGGAAUUACUGCGGUACGAACACUCAAUGUUACACACACAAUGAAGAGACAGGGCCUUCGAUAAGAGCAGCUUGCAGUCAAUUUGAAAACGUUCCACCACGUGCUUUCACCAUAGGUGCAGCUGUCAAUAUAAAAUUUCAAUAUAAUAUCCUGGACUGUAUCUGGGACAGCACCGAUAAAAUGAAUGUCACUGAGGCAAUGGAGUCUCUGCCGCUUCAAAUGAAUGUCACCAUGUCAGUGGUGUCUCUGCCACUUACAAUGAAUGUCACCGAGGCAAUGGAGGUUACGUCUUCUCUUACCACAACCAUUCAGGGCGUUGUAAAAUGUCUUUCUGGCUACAGACCGAAAUCAUUUUCAAGUUGGAGGCGCUAUCUUAGGUUUAUCCUCCACGUGCCUUUGAUGCUGACCUUCACACCUCUGGGUGUUGUUGGGAAUUGUCUGGCUUUUAUCGUUAUCGGUCGUGAGCGGCCAUUAACAUCAACAUCUAUUUUCCUCAGAGCAUUGGCUGUUGCUGAUUGCCUUGUAGUGCUAACUGAACUACGCAGUACCAUGGAGCGAUUGCAUUAUUAUGUGGUAUUAAUGAACACAUAUUGGGAAUACUAUCACACAUUGUACCCAUAUAUUCGGAUGUUGAUGUUGUUUGCCAAGUCGACAUCCAACUACCUCACGGUCUGCGUUGCAAUCGAGCGGUUUAUAGCUGUCUGCAGACCGUUAAAGGCAGCCUCGAUUUGUACAAAUCGAAACGCUUAUAUCACAGUUGGAUGUGUAUUAAGCUGCUCAUUUGUAUACGUCAUUCCACUGCGGUUUUCCUACUCGCUCAAGUACUCCUACGAUCCUUGCGUUGGCAGGACGAGACCUAAAUGGACGCGUUCUGAACUCUAUUACCAUCCGUUUUACCAAUUUUUUUAUUAUCGAGGCCUUGCAGUUUUGUUCGUUUCUUUAUUGCCAAUGAUUAUUUUGAUAUUCACCACUUAUAAUGUGUUGAAAUCUCUCAAGGCCUCGAGGAGAAAGACUGACAUGGCGACGAGAGGUUUAGACAGCCGACGAAGAGGAGCAAAUACAGCCACAAUACGGGUGCUGGUGGUCGUGAUGGUAUUCCUUUUACUAGAGACACCAAAGGCUGUGAGUGACAUAGCUAGUUUGUUAGACGCGUUAACAUCUCUUAGUAUUCGUUACGCUUGGAUGAAUCCCUUAUACUACAUUUCCCGUUUUUUGACCUAUUUCAACAGCUUCGUUAAUUUCUUCAUUUACUGCGCAACAGGCAACCGUUUUAGGAAAGGACUAAUUGAGCUGUUCCGACUGAGAAGUGCAUCAGGUAACUCAUUAAGUUAACCAGUCGGUGAUUUUAACGUUCGACAUCAGGGAGGAGAAUAGAUCUUUGCUGAAUCGUCUAAGAGAGAAUCAUACCUCAAUCUAUCAGAAUACAAAUUUGGAACCGUUACUUUACCCGGGUGACAUUGACUUCUACACCGGUAUCGUUGUAUAAGCCAAGUUUACUCUCGAACGUUUGACUUAAAACAUUGUUUUGGCUUGGUUUAGGGGCGGAGACCGUAAAGAAAGACUGGACGAGAUUACUGAUUUAGACAAUAGACUCAAGAUGCAAUAUUCCAUAACAUCGUGUGAUUGAAGACGCGCUCACAAUGUUAUAUCUCAUCCAAGCAAUCGCCAAAAGAUACUGUGAUCACAUGACAGUACUAUUGAAAGCCCAACAGAUCAGGGCCCGGUUGUUAAUGUCACUAACGCUGGCGUCAACUUACCUUGGUGUUAAGUCUAAAGGCUAAAGUGAAGGAGAUAGCGCUAUGUUAAGUAAACUCUUACGUUAGCGACAAAAGUUGUUUUGAACUACCAGGCCCUGACCAUAUUUUCCGUUGAUGACAAGGGGUUGACAACGACACCAACGCCAGACUAGCCUAUACCCAACAACAUUCCAUUGACUUCAAAGGUCACUUUCUGACACCUCGCCCACUCGCUAAGAGAGCCAGAAAGAAGAAUACAGCCCGCCGUGAGCAGAUCAUGUUGCAGAAACCUUUCUUUGCGAGAAGCGGCAAUGUUGACUGUCCUCUUUUAAGGAUCGUGAUGCCAAGCGAGUAGCAGAGAUCAGUGUAAUAGACUUUUGCUCACCUGAUUCCUGAUGUCAGUAGACCCUAUUGAUGGUCCUGGUUACAGUAAUGAUAACGACAACAGACCCCUGGGGCACCCAUGAUUAUUGGUCGGGUUAUUUACAAGGCGAGUGCCAUGGUUGCGUGUUCACCAAACUCCGAAACACUCUGUGUUCAAUAUCACAUGGUUUGAAAAGUCCUGUAUAGAAACGAAUGUCCGCCGAACAAUGGUUCUUUAAUUAGGUGCCUUAAUUUCUAAGCUAGUGACGGUAAUGGCCUCUACAGAACCAUGAUAUACGAUAUAUCAUAAUCGGCCAGCCCACGAUAGUCUGGACACCUUUUCCAGGGGGACAUUUUCCAUUCCUACACCGGCUAUUGCGAAGCAGGUGAGUUCCUGCUUACUUAAGACUAUAAGAGGUACAGGGAGAGUUCUCUCGCCUAUCUCCGUUCUCUCGCCUAUCAAAACAAAAAAUUGCCGGAAGGAACUACUUUAGUAAGUUCCCGACCAUGUUACCACAAGACUACAGACCUGGCUUGAAGAAGGUCAAGUUCCAAGUAGGGAAAUUAAUGGAAUCCGUAAGCAGACGUUUCAUCAUUUCUGGAAGAUGAUGAAAACAAUGAGGCUUUGGAUGAUGUUACUAGAUAUGUAACACACAAUAUAGUAGACACCCUCUAACCAAGAAAUGGCCAUUCUUGACAAGAGUAUACCGAGUUUUCACCGUGCUUGACCGUGGAUCUACCGAGAAAUGCAAAACCGCCGUUGUCCGGAACCAAGAAAUUACAAAAAUCACUGCCCUCUGUUUUCGGGCAUCAUUGUACAUAGAUUGCUCCCUUGAGCAGCUUUCCUAUCCUCAGG